rnacentral:rRNA from 1 species
AGAACGAACGCUGGCGGCAUGCCUAACACAUGCAAGUCGAACGAGACCUUCGGGUCUAGUGGCGCACGGGUGCGUAACGCGUGGGAAUCUACCCUUGGGUUCGGAAUAACAGUUGGAAACGACUGCUAAUACCGGAUGAUGACGUAAGUCCAAAGAUUUAUCGCCAUUAGAGCGGCCCGCGUCUGAUUAGCUAGUUGGUGAGGUAAUGGCUCACCAAGGCGACGAUCAGUAGCUGGUCUGAGAGGAUGACCAGCCACAUUGGGACUGAGACACGGCCCAAACUCCUACGGGAGGCAGCAGUGGGGAAUCGUUGCGCAAUGGGACGAAAGCCUAGACGCAGCCAGUGCCGCGUGAAUGAUGAAGUCUAAGGAUUAGUAAAAUUCUUACGACGGGACGAUAAUCGACGGUACCCGGAGAA